GGAAUUGUUGGAGAAAACUCGAAUUACUGACGAAACUUGAUGUUGAUGCGGACGCGGUUGAGGAUUCCUUCUGACACAAGGCCUUCUCUUCCUCCCUACAGAUACUAAAUUGGUUUCCCAUUCCUUCCUUUUGGAAAAACCACUUCCAUAUUUCUUACUGGACGACACCUCUUCCUUAGACAGACGUCCUUCACGGACUCCCUCUUCUAACCUCAUCCCCAUGUUUACCAUUUCGGUAAAGUCACUAGGGGCACUGGUAAUCAUACGUUCG
rnacentral:lncRNA from 1 species